GUUUCUGUGGUGUAGUGGUUAUCACAUCCGCCUAACACGCGGAAGGUCCCCGGUUCAAUCCCGGGCGGAAACA
rnacentral:tRNA from 1 species